rnacentral:misc_RNA from 1 species
GAUGAAGAACGCAGCGAAAUGCGACAAGUAAUGUGAAUUGCAGAAUUCAGUGAAUCAUCGAAUCUUUGAACGCACAUUGCGCCCGCCAGUAUUCUGGCGGGCAUGCCUGUCCGAGCGUCAUUUCAACCCUCGAACCCCUCCGGGGGGUCGGCGUUGGGGAUCGGCCCUUUACGGGGCCGGCCCCGAAAUACAGUGGCGGUCUCGCCGCAGCCUCUCCUGCGCAGUAGUUUGCACACUCGCAUCGGGAGCGCGGCGCGUCCACAGCCGUUAAACACCCCAAACUUCUGAAAUGUUGACCUCGGAUCAGGUAGGAAUACCCGCUGAACUUAAGCAUAUCAAUAAGCGGAGGA